UAGGGAAUCUUAGACAAUGGGGGAAACCCUGAUCUAGCCAUGCCGCGUGUGUGAUGACGGCCCUAGGGUUGUAAAGCACUUUCGCCAGGGAAGAUAAUGACGGUACCUGGUAAAGAAACCCCGGCUAACUCCGUGCCAGCAGCCGCGGUAAUACGGAGGGGGUUAGCGUUGUUCGGAAUUACUGGGCGUAAAGCGCGCGUAGGCGGACCAUUAAGUCAGGGGUGAAAUCCCGGGGCUCAACCCCGGAACUGCCCUUGAUACUGGCGGUCUUGAGUUCGAGAGAGGUGAGUGGAAUUCCGAGUGUAGAGGUGAAAUUCGUAGAUAUUCGGAGGAACACCAGUGGCGAAGGCGGCUCACUGGCUCGAUACUGACGCUGAGGUGCGAAAGUGUGGGGAGCAAACAGGAUUAGAUACCCCCGUAGUCC
rnacentral:rRNA from 1 species